rnacentral:rRNA from 1 species
GACGUAGGGCGCGAGCGUUUGUCCGGAUUUAUUGGGCGUAAAGCGUGCGCAGGCGGUUAUGUAAGACAGGUGUGAAAUCCCCGGGCUUAACCUGGGAACUGCAUUUGUGACUGCAUAGCUAGAGUACGGUAGAGGGGGGAUGGAAUUCCGCGUGUAGCAGUGAAAUGCGUAGAUAUGCGGAGGAACACCGAUGGCGAAGGCAAUCCCCCUGGACCUGUACUGACGCUCAUGCACGAAAGCGUGGGGGAGCAAACAGG